rnacentral:lncRNA from 1 species
UAAAUUCAAUUCACAUCGUUUACAAAGAGGUUUUUUUUCAUAGAAAACUGACAGAUAGCCUGAAGCAACUAGAUUUUUAUGUAGAGAAGGUUAUCAUUUACCCCAGAUGCUUUUAAACUUCCUGCUUUGGGAGAAAGGUGCUGAUUUCAUUCAUUUCCAGGUCUGAGUACUUCAGCCCUAUUUUCCAGGAGCCCGUGGAUGGAAUCUCUGACCUUUGUAUGAUUUUGUCAUUGAGAGCAAGCAACAACCUUCUAGAAGCACAGAAGGUUUUAUUGAUUCAGAAAUAAAUGCCAG